AAAAGGACCAGGAGGACACACGAGUUCACCUUCAGAGAGAAAGCGAGAGCGCUUGGGGCAUUCAUAUAGUCAAGGAGGAGAAGAAAGGGCCUAUUUCUGCUUCUAAUGCAUUGAGGAAAAAGCAUAACGUUGACGCUGUUCCUGCAGCUCUGCAGCCGGGUGGUGAAGCUGGACGUGGUAGGCGAAUUGUAAUCCUCUGUGGUCUCCGAGAGGAACUCGGAUACCGAUAUCUGAUCCGGCAUCCUCGACGGCGGAUAAUGGCCAGCUGGGUGGGUAGAUGGGGGGGGAUUGAGGAGCGAGAACUUCAGGGGGAACACAGCAUGUAAACGCGGGUUGUGGAGUGGGGGGAGAAGCAGGGCGAGUCCGAGUGAGUGAGGGGGGGGUGAGAAAGCGGAUUUUCCUUGUCGCUACGGAGAUGAUUAAGUCUCGUUUUUCCCCUCACAGAUGACUUCACUGCUCCCGGGGGGGUGGGGUGAAAGAAUUAGCUCGAUUUUUAGACGGAAAGGGGAGCGUGUAAACGUCUAAAAUAGCGCGUCUAACUCGACCUCGGAAGGAGGAUAGCGGAUGGCCACAUUAUGCUCUACAGAU